GAUUCCCUGCGCUGUUGGUGAUUAAUGAGGUAUUGAGCCAACUCUCAUGAUGAGGGCAGCCGAAAUGUCGAUGGAAUGGAAAUCUUCAUUGAUUCCCAGGAAGCGACAUCGGCAUUGCCCACCUAAUUUACUUAGGUUUAAUCAUUUCGUUAACACGGCAGGGCGGGGAUUUU
rnacentral:other from 1 species